rnacentral:rRNA from 1 species
GACGAACGCUGGCGGCGUGCCUAACACAUGCAAGUCGAGCGGAGUCGAUCGACGGAAGCCUUCGGGCGGAAGAUGGUUGACUUAGCGGCGGAUGGGUGAGUAACGCGUGGGCAACCUGCCUCGAAGACCGGGAUAACAGCCCGAAAGGGCUGCUAAAACCGCAUAAGAUCGCAUCACCGCAUGGUGAGGCGGUUAAAUAUCGAAAGAUAGGUAUGAGAUGGGCCCGCGUCUGAUUAGCUAGUUGGUGAGAUAAGAGCCCACCAAGGCGACGAUCAGUAGCCGGCUUGAGAGAGUGACCGGCCACAUUGGGACUGAGACACGGCCCAAACUCCUACGGGAGGCAGCAGUGGGGAAUAUUGCACAAUGGGGGAAACCCUGAUGCAGCGACGCCGCGUGAGUGAAGAAGUGCUUCGGGCAUGUAAAGCUCUAUCAGCAGGGAAGAAGAUGACGGUACCUGACUAAGAAGCCCCGGCUAACUACGUG